UCUCUGGAGGACUAGUGGUCAGGCCUCGGUGCUCUCACCGCCGUGGCGCAGGUUCAAUUCCCAACCAGGGAA
rnacentral:tRNA from 1 species